rnacentral:rRNA from 1 species
AUGAGCUUCUAUAGCCUCCAUGAGACGCUCCAUAAGGCAAUUGCCAAGUACCAGUCCAGAUUCUUCUGGGCUGGCGAGGAUGAUAAGCAAAAGUACCACAUGGUGAGCUGGCCGGAUAUCUGCAAACCCAAGGACCAGGGUGGUCUUGGGAUAUUGUCCUCCCGGCGCAUGAACAUUGCCCUCCUGACCCGUUGGCUCUGGCACAUUGCUAAUGGCGACGGAGGCCUUUGGCUCACCAUCAUCCGGAACAAGUACCUUCAUGGACAACCACUCGCAUUCUGUCAGCGCUCGGGCGGCUCCCAGUUUUGGCAGGCCGUCAUCCAGCUGCUACCUGUGCUUCACAUUGGCACAUCCAUCUCGGUUGGUACUGGGUCCUCGACCCUGUUCUGGUUUGAUCGGUGGAUUGGCGACAUCCCCCUGGCCGCACGAUUUUCAGAGCUAUUCGCCAUUGCUGUUGACCCUCGGUCUCUGUCGAGUCGGCCCUUAUUGACUUAG